rnacentral:rRNA from 1 species
GAUGAACGCUGGCGGCGUGCCUAAUACAUGCAAGUCGAGCGAACGGACGAGAAGCUUGCUUCUCUGAUGUUAGCGGCGGACGGGUGAGUAACACGUGGAUAACCUACCUAUAAGACUGGGAUAACUUCGGGAAACCGGAGCUAAUACCGGAUAAUAUUUUGAACCGCAUGGUUCAAAAGUGAAAGACGGUCUUGCUGUCACUUAUAGACGGAUCCGCGCUGCAUUAGCUAGUUGGUAAGGUAACGGCUUACCAAGGCAACGAUGCAUAGCCGACCUGAGAGGGUGAUCGGCCACACUGGAACUGGGACACGGUCCAGACUCCUACGGGAGGCAGCAGUAGGGAAUCUUCCGCAAUGGGCGAAAGCCUGACGGAGCAACGCCGCGUGAGUGAUGAAGGUCUUCGGAUCGUAAAACUCUGUUAUUAGGGAAGAACAUAUGUGUAAGUAACUGUGCACAUCUUGACGGUACCUAAUCAGAAAGCCACGGCUAACUACGUG